UCUCUCACUAGAGGUCAGCACUGCCACGCUGCUGCCUCGGGAAUGUUGGAAAAUGGGGAUAAAAUCCUGCCAGGCUGCAGCUGGGCUCGGUUUGGUGCCUGACUGACACCCUGGGGUGGUGGAGGAGUCCUGCCCACGGCUGGGGGAUUUCGUAAGGUGCUUUGGCUCCAUGGAACAGAGUCCAACCUUUGGGAAAAGCACCUCAGUCCCUCACUUCUCCUCAACUGGAUUUAUGUCCAAGCUGCAGACUUCAGGACUUUGUAAAGAUCUGACUUUCUUCCCAGAACAUCUGCAGGGGAAAUGGAGGAGCUGAAGGGUGAAAUGAUUCCUGGAUUUUGGGAAGGAAUUCCUGGAAUUCCCAGAGCAGCUGUGGCACCCCUGGAUCCCGGGAAUGUCCCUGCCCAGGUCCCUCCCAGUCCAAACCAGUUUGGGAUACUGGGAUGCUCUGGGCUGGGCUCUCUGCUCUUCUGUGCCUCUCCCACGACUUGAUCUCGGAAUUGUUCCAGUCUUGCCCACUGAGAGCUGCUCUGGAGUUUCACCCCUGUGUCCGUGAGAAAGAAAAUAAAGCAAAGUUUUAUUGUGGAAAUAAAAUUUCCUUUGCUGGAA